GACGUAGGGCGCGAGCGUUGUCCGGAUUUAUUGGGCGUAAAGAGCUCGUAGGCGGCUUGUCGCGUCGACUGUGAAAUCCCGCGGCUCAACCGCGGGUCUGCAGUCGAUACGGGCAGGCUAGAGUUCGGUAGGGGAGACUGGAAUUCCUGGUGUAGCGGUGAAAUGCGCAGAUAUCAGGAGGAACACCGAUGGCGAAGGCAGAUCUCUGGGCCGUAACUGACGCUGAGGAGCGAAAGCCAGGGGAGCGAACAGG
rnacentral:rRNA from 1 species